rnacentral:tRNA from 1 species
GGUGUAGCUCAGUCGGUUAGAGCGCCGGAUUGUGGUUCCGGAGGCCGCCGGUUCAAAUCCGGUCAUC